UUACUUUUUAUAUAUAUAUAUAUAUAUAUAUAUAUAUAUAUAGAGGUGGACUGGGCUACUAUUAGUAGCAAAAUCCUAUUGUUACUACCAGUUUUUUAGCCUUUGGAUCAACUCUUUUUAUUAUUUCUAAUCAUUGGAUUAAAUACUAUAACCCAGUGGGGACCACUCAACCCUAGGGGGACCACUCAACUCUAACCAACUAAUAUCAUCCUAACCCUACAAUUUUUCAUCCAAGGGUUAAAAACUUGAUAGCAAAAAGAGCGUUUUA
rnacentral:lncRNA from 1 species